rnacentral:rRNA from 1 species
GAUGAACGCUGGCGGCGUGCCUAAUACAUGCAAGUCGAGCGAACAGACGAGGAGCUUGCUCCUCUGACGUUAGCGGCGGACGGGCGAGUAACACGUGGAUAACCUACCUAUAUGACUGGGAUAAUUUCGGGAAACCGGAUCUAAUACCGGAUAAUAUAUUGAACCGCAGGGUUCAAUAGUGAAAGACGGUUUUGCUGUCACUUAUAGAUGGUUCCGCGCCGCAUUAGCUAGUUGGUAAGGUAACGGCUUACCAAGGCAACGAUGCGUAGCCGACCUGAGAGGGUGAUCGGCCACACUGGAACUGAGACACGGUCCAGACUCCUACGGGAGGCAGCAGUAGGGAAUCUUCCGCAAUGGGCGAAAGCCUGACAGAGCAACACCGCGUGAGUGAUGAAGGUCUUCGGAUCGUAAAGCUCUGUUAUUGGGAAAGAACAAAUGUGUAAGUAACUAUGCACGUCUUGACGGUACCUAAUCAGAAAGCCCCGGCUAACUACGUG